rnacentral:rRNA from 1 species
GACGGCGUACCUUUUGUAUAAUGGGUCAGCGACUUACAUUCAGUGGCGAGGUUAACCGAAUAGGGAAGCCGUAGAGAAAUCGAGUCCGAAUAGGGCGAAUAGUCGCUGGGUGUAGACCCGAAACCAAGUGAUCUAUCCAUGGCCAGGAUGAAGGUACCGUAACAGGUGCUGGAGGUCCGAACCGACUAGUGUUGCAAAACUAGCGGAUGAGCUGUGGAUAGGGGUGAAAGGCUAAACAAACUUGGAAAUAGCUGGUUCUCUCCGAAAACUAUUUAGGUAGUGCCUCAAGUAUUACCUGCGGGGGUAGAGCACUGUUUAGGCUAGGGGGUCAUGGCGACUUACCAAACCUAUGCAAACUCCGAAUACCGCAGAGUACAGCUUGGGAGACAGAGCACCGGGUGCUAACGUCCGGACUCAAGAGGGAAACAACCCAGACCGCCAGCUAAGGUCCCUAAAAUUGGCUAAGUGGGAAACGAAGUGGGAAGGCUAAAACAGUCAGGAUGUUGGCUUAGAAGCAGCCAUCAUUUAAAGAAAGCGUAAUAGCUCACUGAUCGAGUCGUCCUGCGCGGAAGAUGUAACGGGGCUAAGCCAGUUACCGAAGCUGCGGAUGCAUCGCAAGAUGCGUGGUAGGAGAGCGUUCUGUAAGCCUGUGAAGGUGGGUUGUGAAGCCUGCUGGAGGUAUCAGAAGUGCGAAUGCUGACAUGAGUAGCGUUAAAGGGGGUGAAAAGCCCCCUCGCCGAAAGCGCAAGGUUUCCUACGCAACGUUCAUCGGCGUAGGGUGAGUCGGCCCCUAAGGCGAGGCAGAGAUGCGUAGCUGAUGGGAAACAGGUCAAUAUUCCUGUACCGAUCAAUAGUGCGAUGUGGGGACGGAGAAGGUUAGCUCAGCCAACUGUUGGAUAUGUUGGUUCAAGCGUGUAGUCGUGCUCUUUAGGCAAAUCCGGAGAGCUUAGAUGAGGCGUGAU